CAGCAGCCGCGGUAAUACAGAGGCCUCAAGCGUUGUUCGGAUUCAUUGGGCGCAAAGGGUGCGUAGGCGGUCGGGUAAGUCGGAUGUGAAAUCCUGGGGCUCAACCUCAGAACUGCAUUCGAUACUGCUUGGCUAGAGGACUGGAGAGGAGAUCGGAAUUCACGGUGUAGCAGUGAAAUGCGUAGAUAUCGUGAGGAAGACCAGUGGCGAAGGCGGAUCUCUGGACAGUUCCUGACGCUGAUGCACGAAGGCCAGGGGAGCAAACGGGAUUAGAUACCCCGGUAGUCCCUGUCUCUUAUAC
rnacentral:rRNA from 1 species